rnacentral:rRNA from 1 species
GACGAACGCUGGCGGCGCGCCUAACACAUGCAAGUCGAACGAGCGAGAGAGAGCUUGCUUUCUCAAGCGAGUGGCGAACGGGUGAGUAACGCGUGAGGAACCUGCCUCAAAGAGGGGGACAACAGUUGGAAACGACUGCUAAUACCGCAUAAGCCCACAGGUCGGCAUCGACCAGAGGGAAAAGGAGCAAUCCGCUUUGAGAUGGCCUCGCGUCCGAUUAGCUAGUUGGUGAGGUAACGGCCCACCAAGGCAACGAUCGGUAGCCGGACUGAGAGGUUGAACGGACACAUUGGGACUGAGACACGGCCCAGACUCCUACGGGAGGCAGCAGUGGGGAAUAUUGCACAAUGGGGGAAACCCUGAUGCAGCGACGCCGCGUGGAGGAAGAAGGUCUUCGGAUUGUAAACUCCUGUUGUGGAGGAAGAUAAUGACGGUACUCAACAAGGAAGUGACGGCUAACUACGUG